ACAAGAGACUUACGAGACCAACUAGAAGAAGGGAUGCAACUACGAUUUGUUUCUUCCCUCAAAACUUUCACAGGAACUGCGUAGCUUGCGGAAACCUGUGUUCCAAGAUGAUGGUCAAAUAAAGCAAUCUUAUCUUGUCGCUACAUUCAUUCAAAUAAGCAACGAAGCCAGGCAUAUGUGACAACGAAAUUCAAGGAAACAAAUGUGAAAUCGGCAUGAUAAUCAUAUAAGGGCAGGAUUUUGCGUAGGCCUUUCAAAGAUAUUGCCUAGUUACCAGCAUUUUUAUUCUCUCUUGCUGAAUUAACUCUCUAACAGGUCUGUAAGCAGCAGUUGUACACAAGUUCUACAUUUAACAAUUAGUGAGAGUGAAAAAUGUGUUAGGCACCUUUGAGCAUCAAAAGCUAAAAAUAGUAAAAGCAUUUUCAGGUUGUAGCACGAUAGUCACAUAUAUAGUGAAAUAGUUAG